UACGUAGGGGGCGAGCGUUGUCCGGAAUCAUUGGGCGUAAAGGGCGCGUAGGUGGCCUGGCAAGCGUGCGGUGAAAGCUCGGGGCUCAACCCCGAGUCGGCCGUGCGAACUGCUAUGGCUCGAGCACUGUAGAGGCAGGCGGAAUUCCGGGUGUAGCGGUGGAAUGCGUAGAUAUCGAGAGGAACACCUGUGGUGUAGACGGCUUUCUGGACCAUAGCUGACGCUGAGACACGAAAGCGUGGGUAGCAAACAGG
rnacentral:rRNA from 1 species